GGCUGAGAGAUCAGCUGUUCCCUUCGGGGACAGAAUGACAGGUGGUGCAUGGUUGUCGUCAGCUCGUGUCGUGAGAUGUUGGGUUAAGUCCCGCAACGAGCGCAACCCUUAUGAUCAGUUGCCAGCAUUCAGUUGGGCACUCUGGUCAGACUGCCGGUGACAAACCGGAGGAAGGUGGGGAUGACGUCAAAUCAUCGUGCCCCUUAUGACCUGGGCUACACACGUGCUACAAUGGGUGGUACAACGAGCAGCGAGACCGCGAGGUCAAGCGAAUCUCUAAAAACCAUCCUCAGUUCGGAUUGCAGGCUGCAACUCGCCUGCAUGAAGCUGGAAUCGCUAGUAAUCGCGGAUCAGCACGCCGCGGUGAAUACGUUCCCGGGUCUUGUACACACCGA
rnacentral:rRNA from 1 species